GCGUGGCAGGGGGUACAACCGUGUGGAAAGAAAAUGGAGGAAAAAGAGAUGGGAAAGUGAGGAUUAAUGCAGGGGAAGUGGAUUUUAGGAUAGUUUAGGGGUUGAGGAAAUGAGAAGCUGAGGAAUGGGGGGUGGGAUAGGGAUUAGGGAGUGGAGAAGGGGAGAUUUCGGCUAGGGUUUUGAAAGGAAGAAGAAAAUGAACAGUGAUUUGCUUAUAUAGGAGAGGUGCACAUGGUC
rnacentral:lncRNA from 1 species